UGGGGAAUAUUGGACAAUGGGCGCAAGCCUGAUCCAGCCAUGCCGCGUGAGUGACGAAGGUCUUCGGAUUGUAAAACUCUUUCGUCGGGGACGAUAAUGACGGUACCCGAAGAAGAAGCUCCGGCUAACUUCGUGCCAGCAGCCGCGGUAAUACGAAGGGAGCUAGCGUUGUUCGGAAUCACUGGGCGUAAAGCGCACGUAGGCGGAUAGUUAAGUCAGGGGUGAAAUCCUGGGGCUCAACCCCAGAACUGCCUUUGAUACUGGCUGUCUCGAGGUCGAGAGAGGUUGGUGGAAUUCCUAGUGUAGAGGUGAAAUUCGUAGAUAUUAGGAAGAACACCAGUGGCGAAGGCGGCCAACUGGCUCGAUACUGACGCUGAGGUGCGAAAGCGUGGGGAGCAAACAGGAUUAGAUACCCUAGUAGUCCCUGAGCGGGCUGGCAAGGCGCAU
rnacentral:rRNA from 1 species